UAGGUUUAUUGAUUAAAAUAGGGGCCAAUUUUUCCAAGGCAUACCAAAAAUUUUAUGAAGAAAAAAUAAUCAAAGAUGUUGUCGAAGACAAUCCAGUUAGCCACUUCUGUAAAGAAAAAAUCAAGGAUUCAAAAAAGGGUUUUUUAACAGAAAUGUUGACUAUCAAUAAGACAUAAAACCUUUAAAUAUAUAUAUUUUUCUUUUUGAUAUAAAAUAUAAAUUAAAUAGUAUUGUAAAAAAUAUAUAAAUAAUACAUUAUUUUGAUUUUGUGUCAGCUUGCACGCCAUAUUUUUCUGUGUUUCAAUUUAUAGCAUCAACCAAUCUAUUUAAUUGUUCUAAUAAAAUUUAUUGUUGGUCUACAACUCAUACAUUUUGUUUCACCUCUAAUCAUCAACUCUUCCGUGCAAUCAGCUACUGUUUUACUGAAAAAAUUAUUUAUACAAUUAUAUGUAUGUAGGUGUGUAUUAUAUAAUAUUAUAAUUUAAAUGCUAAAACUUCGAUCACAGAAAGCUAUAUACACUAACA